rnacentral:rRNA from 1 species
CCUACGGGAGGCAGCAGUGGGGAAUAUUGCACAAUGGGGGAAACCCUGAUGCAGCGACGCCGCGUGAGUGAAGAAGUAUUUCGGUACGUAAAGCUCUAUCAGCAGGGAAGAAAAUGACGGUACCUGACUAAGAAGCCACGGCUAACGACGGGCCAGCAGCCGCGGUAAUACGUAGGGGGCAAGCGUUCUCCGGAGUUACUGGGUGUAAAGGGAGCGGAGACGGCAGCGCAAGUCUGGAGUGAAAUCCCAUGGCUUAACCAUGGAACUGCUUUGGAAACUGUGCAGCUAGAGUGCAGGAGAGGUAAGCGGAAUUCCUAGUGUCGCGGUUACAUGCGUAGAUAUUAGGAGGCACACCAGUGGCGAAGGCGGCUUACUGGACUGUAACUGCCGUUGCGGCUCGAAAGCGUGGGGAGCAAACAGGAUUCGAUACCCUUGUAGUC